AGCAGGACGAAUUGUCCAGGUUUCCCAGGAGGUGCUCGGCUCAGCACAGUCAUUGUUCUCAUCUGGUUUAUCUUGUAACCUGGCACAAUGUUCUGGUCCCUGCUGGGAUCUGUGGCUCCAGGUGAUACCCUGCCUGAGCUAGGACACCACUCCAAUGUUAUACCGCCAGCAGAACAAACCAGCAGGAGGCUGGACUCAGUAGUCAGCAUGCAACCCACAGAGCUGAGCCGAGACCACUCAUGUUAAAUGCACAGCGAUGGGGGA